rnacentral:rRNA from 1 species
UACAGAGGGUGCAAGCGUUGUUCGGAAUUAUUGGGCGUAAAGGGCGCGUAGGCGGUGCCACAAGUCACCUGUGAAAUCUCCGGGCUUAACUCGGAGCCUGCAGGCGAAACUGUGGUGCUGGAGUGUGGGAGAGGUGCGUGGAAUUCCCGGUGUAGCGGUGGAAUGCGCAGAUAUCAGGAAGAACACCAACGGCGAAGGCAGCUCGCUGGGACGGAACUGACGCUAAGGCGCGAAAGCGUGGGGAGCGAACAGG